UUGUGUAUACCAUAGUGUUGGUCUGUAAUAGUGUUGUGUAGAGUAGGUUGUGUAUACCAUAGUGUUGGUCUGUAAUAGUGUUGUGGGGAGUAGGUUGUGUAUACCAUAGUGUUGGUCUGUAAUAGUGUUGUGGGGAGUAGGUUGUGUAUACCAUAGUGUUGGUCUGUAAUAGUGUUGUGUAGAGUAGGUUGUGUAUACCAUAGUGUUGGUCUGUAAUAGUGUUGUGGGGAGUAGGUUGUGUAUACCAUAGUGUUGGUCUGUAAUAGUGUUGUGGAGAGUAGGUUGUGUAUACCAUAGUGUUGGUCUGUAAUAGUGUUGUGGGGAGUAGGUUGUGUAUACCAUAGUGUUGGUCUGUAAUAGUGUUGUGUAGAGUAGGUUGUGUAUACCAUAGUGUUGGUCUGUAAUAGUGUUGUGUAGAGUAGGUUGUGUAUACCAUAGUGUUGGUCUGUAAUAGUGUUGUGUAGAGUAGGUUGUGUAUACCAUAGUGUUGGUCUGUAAUAGUGUUGUGUAGAGUAGGUUGUGUAUACCAUAGUGUUGGUCUGUAAUAGUGUUGUGUAGAGUAGGUUGUGUAUACCAUAGUGUUGGUCUGUAAUAGUGUUGUGUAGAGUAGGUUGUGUAUACCAUAGUGUUGGUCUGUAAUAGUGUUGUGUAGAGUAGGUUGUGUAUACCAUAGUGUUGGUCUGUAAUAGUGUUGUGGGGAGUAGGUUGUGUAUACCAUAGUGUUGGUCUGUAAUAGUGUUGUGUAGAGUAGGUUGUGUAUACCAUAGUGUUGGUCUGUAAUAGUGUUGUGUAGAGUAGGUUGUGUAUACCAUAGUGUUGGUCUGUAAUAGUGUUGUGUAGAGUAGGUUGUGUAUACCAUAGUGUUGGUCUGUAAUAGUGUUGUGUAGAGUAGGUUGUGUAUACCAUAGUGUUGGUCUGUAAUAGUGUAUGCCAUAGGACUGUGUUUUUGAUUUGUGAAAUUGUUCACUUUAAGUUUGUAUUCUGUUGUUCCCAGGGGGGGACGGGGAAGGCACCUUAGGAGUGCUGAGGCCUGCGGGAAUACACAUACCUGCAGUAUGUACUCUGUCUAGGCCCAGUAGGUAAGACCUGGGGGACCACCCCCUGUAUUUUGGUUAGCGUGCCAGGUGGUGCUGGUUAGGUAAGCAGUGGGUAGGAGAGGGGGCUCCUUAACUUUUACUUUCUUUGGUUCCGUCCAGCCCCUUUUCCCCCCAAAUUACCGUGUGAAGGAAAUAAAUUCCUUGCUCACGUUAAAAUUCUCUGCCU